AGAUUUUUUUGGUGAUCAAGAGACAAAAGACUGAGCAGAGAGAGCAUAGGUAGACAAGAGAUGAGCAACAGCAGCUUCAAGGCAGUGUGAUCAGACACACACAUCCACCACUAGCGGCUAAAAGUGGAAGAGAUUAAAACCUCUCCUUUCCGCGCUUGGCCAGAGCAAAGGAGCGAGGCUUCUGGACAGAGAAGACCAGCAGAGAUGCACAAAUCUCUUGUUUUAGACCCACACUUACCGCUGACAGUCACAAUCAUGCUGGGACAGAAGCAGUAGUCGCCCAGUUGUCAUGGAAUAUUAUAAUUGAUUUGAAUAUAUUAAAAUAUAUUGUAAUAAUUAAUAUAAUUGUAUACUCAAAUGAUUGCUGCUGAAAUAUGGAAAUGUGAACAUCUGCAAUCCAUGAGAACUGGGCAAACCCCACCUGCUGAUGAAGAUCAUGUGAUAUGAUGAAAAGCACCAGAAAGGUUAUGGAUUUUAUUUUGAGAAUGAUUUCUCAAACGUUUGAGUUACAUAAGAAAUAGUAUUACACAGUUUUUCCACCAGAGAGCACUGACAAGUGCAACUAGACGGACUGACAAAUAAAAUAAAAAGAUGUUGAGUGGUUUGCUCUGAAGUCUCUAGUUUAAAAGCAGGUUAUUCACAUGCAACCACACACCUUGAAUAUUGAAUUAUUGAGUCCAUGCAUUAAAAGGAAAUUCCAUUGAUUAAACACAUGUUGUUGUCUUUGUUGUAGUGUGUUGUUAGUGGUAUUGUUUCACUUAUUAUUGUAAUGUGUUUGAUUUGUCCCUUGUUCUGUAUUGUAGGCUAUUGCAUAUUAGGACCCCCUUGAAAAGAGAUGGUUCAUCUCAAGGGGUUUAUCCUUUUCAAUAAACUUAUACUACAUCAACCUCUGUUUACAAGUCUUGGGGAGAUGCAAAUAAAUAAAACUGACUUUCCUCAAAGUGCUUGUAAACAAGUCUGCUUAAA